rnacentral:rRNA from 1 species
UAGGGAAUCUUCCACAAUGGACGAAAGUCUGAUGGGCAACGCCGCGUGAGCGAAGAAGGGUUUCGGCUCGUAAAACUCUGUUGUUAAAGAAGAACAUAUCUGAGAGUAACUGUUCAGGUAUUGACGGUAUUUAACCAGAAAGCCACGGCUAACUACGUACCAG